rnacentral:lncRNA from 1 species
GUUCGGGAAAUGUAUGGAGGGAAUAAAAUGACCGACCGCACUAACUGAUAUAGCCGAAUAAGGUUCCAUGCGAAUGGGCCCUGCGGUCGGUCCUGGCAUAAGGGAACAAAAUAUACGAAAGCCUCUAGCUAUAGAGGCUAGGGAGGGUUCGCCUGAAUCCCCUCGUUCGGUAUUUUCUAUCUACUGAACGAGGGGCCGUUCGGUAGUUUGGAACCGAACGGACCAGGUUUGUGGAGGUCUCAGCGGUGUUCGCCUACUCGAGUGUCCGAUUUUAGUUCCAGACACUCGACGGCAAAACACCGCUGUUCGGGAGUUUUAAAAUGGCCGCCGCCACAUGUUCGUUUGUCGAAUGGCGG